GUAGUCCACGCCGUAAACGAUGAAUACUAGGUGUAGGGGUUGUCAUGACCUCUGUGCCGCCGCUAACGCAUUAAGUAUUCCGCCUGGGGAGUACGGUCGCAAGAUUAAAAACUCAAAGGAAUUGACGGGGGGCCCGCACAAGCAGCGGAGCAUGUGGUUUAAUUCGAAGCAACGCGAAGAACCUUACCUAGACUUGACAUCUCCUGCAUUACCCUUAAUCGGGGGAAGUUCUUUCGGGAACAGGAAGACAGGUGGUGCAUGGUUGUCGUCAGCUCGUGUCGUGAGAUGUUGGGUUAAGUCCCGCAACGAGCGCAACCCUUAUUGUUAGUUGCUACCAUUUAGUUGAGCACUCUAGCGAGACUGCCCGGGUUAACCGGGAGGAAGGUGGGGAUGACGUCAAAUCAUCAUGCCCCUUAUGUCUAGGGGCUACACACGUGCUACAAUGGCAAGUACAAAGAGAAGCAAGACCGCGAGGUGGAGCAAAACUCAAAAACUUGUCAUCGAUUCGGAUUGUAGGCUGAAACUCGCCUACAUGAAGCUGGAGUUGCUAGUAAUCGCGAAUCAGCAUGUCGCGGUGAAUACGUUCCCGGGGCCUUGUACACACGCCCAGUUCCAGCCAUCCAUGAGAGUUGGCAAUACCCAACGUACGUGAUCUAACCCG
rnacentral:rRNA from 1 species